rnacentral:rRNA from 1 species
CAGUCGCCGCGGGAAUACGAAGGGGGCUAGCGUUGCUCGGAAUUACUGGGCGUAAAGGGCGCGUAGGCGGACAGUUCAGUCGGGGGUGAAAGCCCGGGGCUCAACCUCGGAAUUGCCUUCGAUACUGGCUGUCUUGAGUAUGAGAGAGGUGUGUGGAACUUCCGGUGGAGCGGUGAAAUGCGUUGAGAUCGGAAGGAACGCCCGUGGCGAAAGCGAGGUCCUGGACGUCUGCUGACGCUGAGACGCGAAAGCCAGGGGAGCGAACGGGAUUAGAUACCCGUGUAGUCCCUGUCUCUUAUAC